rnacentral:rRNA from 1 species
GUAUAAUACCCGAUAGAUCUCGAUUGCUGGAAUGCAUCGAGCUUGAAAGCUCCGGCGCUCAAGGAUGGGUCUGCGGCCUAUCAGGUAGUAGUGGGUGUAGCGUACCUACUAGCCUACGACGGGUACGGGUUGUGAGAGCAAGAGCCCGGAGAUGGAUUCUGAGACACGAAUCCAGGCCCUACGGGGUGCAGCAGGCGCGAAAACUUUACAAUGCUGGAAACAGCGAUAAGGGGACCUCGAGUGCCAGGUUACAAAUCUGGCUGUCGUGAUGCCUAAAAAGCAUUGCAUAGCAAGGGCCGGGCAAGACCGGUGCCAGCCGCCGCGGUAACACCGGCGGCUCGAGUGGUAACCGUUAUUAUUGGGUCUAAAGGGUCUGUAGCCGGCCGGAUAAGUCUCUUGGGAAAUCUGGCAGCUUAACUGUCAGGCUUUCAGGAGAUACUGUCUGGCUCGAGGCCGGGAGAGGUGAGAGGUACUUCAGGGGUAGGGGUGAAAUCUUGUAAUCCUUGAAGGACCACCAGUGGCGAAGGCGUCUCACCAGAACGGACCUGACGGCAAGGGACGAAAGCUAGGGGCACGAACCGGAUUAGAUACCCGGGUAGUCCUAGCCGUAAACGAUACUCGCUAGGUGUCGGCAACGGUGCGACCGUUGUCGGUGCCGUAGGGAAGCCGUGAAGCGAGCCACCUGGGAAGUACGGCCGCAAGGCUGAAACUUAAAGGAAUUGGCG